rnacentral:rRNA from 1 species
CCACCACUAAGCCAGUGGUGAACUCCACAUACGCAUCCUUUGCUGAGGAUACGGUUAACGGAGCGAAAGCGACGUUCAACCUCAAAAGAAGCAGAGGGGGCUUAGUGGUGGGGUGACUGCGUACCUUUUGUAUAAUGGGUCAGCGACUUAUAUUCUGUAGCAAGGUUAACCGUAUAGGGGAGCCGCAGGGAAACCGAGUCUUAACCGGGCGUUAAGUUGCAGGGUAUAGACCCGAAACCCGGUGAUCUAGCCAUGGGCAGGUUGAAGGUUGGGUAACACUAACUGGAGGACCGAACCGACUAAUGUUGAAAAAUUAGCGGAUGACCUGUGGCUGGGGGUGAAAGGCCAAUCAAACCGGGAGAUAGCUGGUUCUCCCCGAAAGCUAUUUAGGUAGCGCCUCGUGAACUCAUCUCCGGGGGUAGAGCACUGUUUCGGCUAGGGGGCCAUCCCGGCUUACCAACCCGAUGCAAACUGCGAAUACCGGAGAAUGUUAUCACGGGAGACACACGGCGGGUGCUAACGUCCGUCGUGAAGAGGGAAACAACCCAGACCGCCAGCUAAGGUCCCAAAGUCAUGGUUAAGUGGGAAACGAUGUGGGAAGGCCCAGACAGCCAGGAUGUUGGCUUAGAAGCAGCCAUCAUUUAAAGAAAGCGUAAUAGCUCACUGGUCGAGUCGGCCUGCGCGGAAGAUGUAACGGGGCUAAACCAUGCACCGAAGCUGCGGCAGCGACACUAUGUGUUGUUGGGUAGGGGAGCGUUCUGUAAGCCUGUGAAGGUGGCCUGUGAGGGUUGCUGGAGGUAUCAGAAGUGCGAAUGCUGACAUAAGUAACGAUAAAGCGGGUGAAAAGCCCGCUCGCCGGAAGACCAAGGGUUCCUGUCCAACGUUAAUCGGGGCAGGGUGAGUCGACCCCUAAGGCGAGGCCGAAAGGCGUAGUCGAUGGGAAACGGGUUAAUAUUCCCGUACUUGGUGUUACUGCGAAGGGGGGACGGAGAAGGCUAUGUUGGCCGGGCGACGGUUGUC